rnacentral:rRNA from 1 species
UACAGAGACUGCAAGCGUUAUUCGGAUUCACUGGGCGUAAAGGGUGCGCAGGCGGUUCGGUGUGUCAGAUGUGAAAUCCCGAGGCUUAACCUCGGAACUGCGUCUGAAACUACUCGACUAGAGUACUGGAGAGGGUAACGGAAUUCACGGUGUAGCAGUGAAAUGCGUAGAUAUCGUGAGGAACACCAGAGGCGAAGGCGGUUACCUGGACAGUUACUGACGCUCAGGCACGAAAGCAUGGGGAGCAAAAGGG